CAAAUAUCAAAACUCGUUUCACACAUAGAAACCCGAUUAUAAAAUAUGUUGAAGUUGAGGUGCGCUGUAAAAAUUUUUCAGAAAAUCUACCUAAAACUAAAAUUAAGAUUAAAUUUAAGAUAAAAAUAAAAAUAAAAAAUAAAAAAAAUCAAAAAAAAUCAAAAAAUCAAAAUUAAAAAGAGCAGCUCUUGCCACUUUUUUGUUUUUUUUUGCCCUCUCUCUUUAGGGAGGAGGUCACCUUGAACCAGUCGAAAGAGCAACCGCUUCCGUCGGUCAAUGUCCUGUGGGUACAACGACUAGGGCACGCGCCCCUCCCCUUUGGCGACACUCGAUCGGUUGCGGCGAUGUACAACGUCUCCAGCGACGGAAAAGGCGGGGCGCGCCCAUGAAGAUCCCCGCCGCGUCCUCCAUGCCCUGGGUCCGGAAUCUCCGCCGGUACGUCGGAUCCGGCACCGGCACCGGCUCCGUUCCCUUCCCUCACUUCCGUCUGUCUUGCACUUGAGCUUGAAACAAAAAGGAUUUUGCUUGAGAUUUUCAAGGAACGACAACAGAGAAAUGCUCAAGCUGGCUCAGUCCCUAGCUACUACAAGAAGCAAUGUCAAUUGGAUAGUUUUUUGUGGUCUCCUAUGCAGUUCUAUCAAUAUAUUCAAGAAUGUGCAGACGAGCAUUCAGACAUGCUUGCUGAAAGAUGUUUCUUUUGCUUGAAAGUUGCUUUACGUGUGCUUUGUGUUCCUUACAUACAAAUAUAAUUUCUUUUCAUACAAUCUUUUCAGAUCUGUUUCCAUAAUAUAUUGCUUUGUGAAGCAGAAGCCUGAAGAAGGAUCAAUCAGUCAUAGGGUUCAAAGAUUGGCGAAGCACCGGUUUAUGAAGAAGCAGUCCGUACUUUUACUAAAUGCUGAUGAUCUAGAUGCAAUAUGGGUUUGCUUGAGGGAAAAUUGUGUUAUUGAUGAUUCUAUUGGAGAUGAAAAGAUGAACUAUGAAGAUUUCUGUCAGAUUGCCUCUAUUUGCAUGGAGCCAAUUGGUCCAAAAUGUUGAUGAUUUUUUAGCCCUUCAAACUUUAUGAAGUUUGAAAAGGACGAAUCUGGAAGAACAACCCUACCUUUCUAUCUUUAUGUGAUGCGAACAGUAUUAUCCAUUUUUUUACUGUUGAACUUUUUUUUUUUAAUACUGACUGAAUUUUGAAUUUUUUGAUGGAGUUAAAUGCCUGUCCUAUGCAUGUUUGAUAUGUGAUCAGAUUGGUAAAGUACCAAUAUAAUAGGCAGUAUGCCUGCAUAUAUUGCUUGAUAUCACUGGAAAAAAUAAUGAAAAUUGGAUAUUGGGGGUACCAAAUUAUUGUACCGGUUGCUGGUGCUUAGUUGGACCAAUAAACUCUGGGUGGUUAUCUUGGUCUGGUCAGUAUCAUAAACCAUGAUGGGAAUUUUCAACAUUUUUGUUGGUAGUAGUGAUUUUCCAACAUUGUUUUUGGUAGUUAUGAGUUACAGUCCAAAAUAUUUCUUCCAGUUUCAUUAAGAAGGUUGUAAUAUAAAUCCUAUAAAAUUUGGUCUAUGAUAUUUUCUCUUUACUACAAGCUUCAAUCUUUCUAUUGGUUCUGACAGAGGAAUGCUGUCUUGUGCUGAGUGUCCAUAUCGGUCAUGGGUUGGACUGAUACAUACCUGUUGGUAGCGGUGUACCAUAUGUCGGUACACCAGUGUUAUGGAAAAAAACAUAAAAAAAGGGCCCAAAAUUAAAAAAACCAUAGUUUAUGGUUUUUCCCCCUAAUUGCUUGGUACAUAAGUGAUAUUUAGAUUAUAAUAAAGUGUUUCUAACCAUAAAUAAAUAAAAAUUCUUCGUUAUAAUGAUGAAAAAUUGAGUCAGAGAGAAUGAGAGUGAGUGAGAAGGGGGAGGCAGGAGGGUUUAAAGGGUCAAAAUAGGGCCAUUUGUCAAUUUGACCAUAUGGACCUGGUUUGACCUGAGAGGAGAUCAGUACCAUGAUUCCUAACAGAACUUUGGGACUAACUAUAUCACCUAUUAUUCAUCUUUUACUACUGAUACAAAUAAUAAAAAAGGCAUAGUUAGAAAAUUUAAUAGCUUAGUAUUUGAUGCAUGACUUGGUAAUUGUUUCUUAAUAAAGCAUUUGCAAUAGUAGUUGUCAAAUCUAUAUCAUGAAAUUAUUGCUGAUAUCAUAUGAAACUGUUGUAUUUUUAUGUAGAAAGCUUAUUGACAUCAACCAAAAUGCUUUAUUUCUAAAUUAUCAUGGUUUUCAUGUUCAUUUAUCUUGCUGACUGUAGUAAAAGAAAUAUUUAAUGAAUAUUAAACCAUUUAAUAUUAAAUAUUCAACUUUUCAGAUCUGGUAUUCUUUCUUUCUUUAUCCAGGGAUUUCUGCAAAAAACUAGUGAUGAAAUUGAACAUUAUAUGUCUUGCCAAAUCAGCAUAGUGUGCACAUCAUUUUCAACCUUCAAAUGACUGACAUGCAUUUAUGCUUAUACAUUAUGAUUGAUUUCAUAAAAUAAAGGAAGGUAUCCAAAAUAGUUCUAAUUACAGAGGAACUAAGAUCAUGUCACCCCACCCUAUGAAUUUUUAGGCAAGAGCGAUUGAAGGUAGGAUUGGAUGUCAACAAAUAUUUUGGAAAACAAUAUGGUUUUAGACUUAUGGUUUUUAUUGAUUUAGAAAAAAAUUAAGAGAGCCUUAGAGAUUUAUUAUUGUUUCUUUUGGAAAAGAAAUAUAUGUCCACUAACUAUAUUGAUGUUAUAAGAUAUAUGUAUGAGAGUAUAUUCAUUAGUGUUAGAACUUUAGGAGUGUGUAUAAGAUUACAUUAAGGAUCAUCAUUAAGUUCUUAUCUUUUUAUAUUAGUAAUGGGCAAAUUUAUUAGUCAUAUAUAGGGUAUAUGAAGAUGUCAUUUUCGUUGAUGAUAGCUUAAAUGAAAUUAUAAAUUUUGAGUUAUUGAGACAAACUUUAUAAACUAAAAAUUUUAAAUUAUGACUAAGACAGAAUAUAUGAGACGUAAAUUUAGUAAUAUAAGAGAAGAAGACAUAAAUAAGUUGGAUCGAUAACAAGCUCCAAUAAGUAAAAUUUUUCAUAUUUUGUAUUGGUUAUUCAACAAGAUGGAGAAAUUGAUGAAAAUAUUAUUCAUAGAGGAAAAAUCAGGUAGUUCAAAUAGAAAGAGAGAUCAAAAGUUUUGUGUGAUCAUAACAGGUUAAAAUGAAAUCUAAAUGAAGUUAUUAGACCAUUGAUGCAUUAUGGAUAUGUGUUAGGCAGUUAAGAAACAAUAUAUAAGAAGUUGGUAUCUUUGAGACGAGAAUGUGAGUUAUUAUAGGAGAUAAAAAAGGAACAGUUUUGUCUGUAUCUAUUGAGUUAUAGAUGUCUGUUAGUGGUGUGAGGAAAAGAUAGAGGGAGAUCUAAUAAAAUGUUACUAGAAAAUUUAGAUAAAUAUUUAACAGUUCUUAAUUUAACUUUGUGCAGACUCAAUGACGGCAAAAGACCCUGUGGCCGACCCCAAAUGAUUGAGGUAUUACGGGUUGUUGGCUGUUAGUAGUUAGUACUAUGAUCUAAUUGAGCUUUGUUGGCAGUGGAUUUUGUUUGAUGAAAAUGAGAAAUUUCUAGAUGAAUAUGGUGUUCAUUUUCAUGUGAUGGUAAGGAUCACCAGCUCGUUUUUUUAACUUGACUACACUAGGCAUCUUAAGAUUGCAGCAUAAUCUGGAGAUUAUCUUUUCAUAAUAUUACAAGUCCUAUUUGUAUGAAUUUUUAACCCAUAAACAAAACACUUCUCAUGCCUUUUGUUGUAUGUUCUCUUUGAAGAAAUUUAUAUAAAAUUUUCAUAGAUGAUAAGUGGUCCUGAUGAAUGUCAUAACCAGCGUCUGUUGAUGGUUGUAUUUCCUUCAAGUGUUCUCUACUAAUGCAAGUUAUUUAAGCUGUAGUGCAACUGGUAAUGGAAUGAGUAAGGGGUAUCUAUGGCUACUUGCAAUGCAAUUUUUUUAUAAUUAGUAUUUUUUGGAGUUCCGCUGGAUAUUUAUUCUGGUUAAGGAUGCAGCACUUGAGAGAUAUAUUCUCUUAAGAUUUCACUGACUGUAUUACUACUGCACAGAUAUGUUUCUUGCACUAGAUAAAGACCAUAAUGGAACAAUAAGCAAGCAGGAUCUCAAAGAAUAUGCAGAUGGGACACUGACAGAAAUCUUUAUUGAGAGAGGUUAGGUUCUAGGCUUCUAGCAUCAAGGAAUUGUCCAAUCGCAAAUGAAAGGUCUGAUCCUUGUCAGGAAUCUUUUGCCAACAGUGGAGAUUGCAGCCCAUCCCUCCACAAUUGGGAAAAGAUAUACAAGAAAGAAAAGGAAAGGCUAGGAACAAAGGCAAAAAGAAAGAGAUGGUAGCUCUGCUCAGGUUUUUGAUGAGCAUGUACGUUGGAGUAAAAUUGGAGGGGGUAAUGCUCGUGAAAUGGACUUUGAAAGCUUUCUGGAUUUUGUUUUGGCCCUGGAAAACAAAGUCACUCCUGAAGGAUUAACAUACAUAUUCAAAUCUCUUGAUCUCCAAGGACGAGGCUAUCUUACAACAGCAGAAAUUUAUACCCUCUUCAGUUUAUUUAUGCAAGAUGUUGCAUACCUGUGCAAACUCAAGUAUUUGAACUGAUUCAGAACUGAAGGGACAGUCAAUUAGUGGCAACUGGAAUUGCACAGCUAAGGAGAUGUGCAUCAAAAGUGGAUUGAGGGCGGUCACUGUGAUCUGUGUAUCGAAGAUGUAAGAGAUGAAAUCUGGGAUAUGGUCAAACCAGUGGACCCUCUUAGGAUCACACUUGCUGAUCUUCUUGCCUGCAAGCAAGGUG